rnacentral:rRNA from 1 species
UACGUAGGGUGCAAGCGUUGUCCGGAAUUAUUGGGCGUAAAGAGCUCGUAGGCGGUUUGUCGCGUCUGCUGUGAAAACUCAGGGCUUAACUCUGAGCUUGCAGUGGGUACGGGCAGACUAGAGUGCGGUAGGGGAGACUGGAAUUCCUGGUGUAGCGGUGAAAUGCGCAGAUAUCAGGAGGAACACCGGUGGCGAAGGCGGGUCUCUGGGCAGUUACUGACGCUGAGGAGCGAAAGCGUGGGGAGCGAACAGG